GACGAACGCUGGCGGCGUGCUUAACACAUGCAAGUCGAACGGAAAGGCCCUGCUUGCAGGGUACUCGAGUGGCGAACGGGGGAGUAACACGUGGGUGAUCUGCCCUGCACUUCGGGAUAAGCCUGGGAAACUGGGUCGAAUACCGGAGAGGAGCCAUCUUUAGUGUGAUGGUGGGAAAGUUUUUUCGGUGUAGGAUGAGCUCGCGGCCUAUCAGCUUGUUGGUGGGGUAAUGGCCUACCAAGGCGGCGACGGGUAGCCGGCCUGAGGGGGUGGACGGCCACAUUGGGGCCUGGGUACGGCCCAGACUCCUACGGGGGGCAGCAGUGGGGAAUAUUGCACAAUGGGCGCGAGCCUGAUGCAGCGACGCCGCGUGGGGGAUGACGGCCUUCGGGUUGUAAACUCCUUUCGCUAGGGACGAAGCUUUUUGUGACGGUACCUAGAAAAGAAGCACCGGCUAACUACGUG
rnacentral:rRNA from 1 species